rnacentral:tRNA from 1 species
GCGGCUGUGGCGGAAUUGGUAGACGCGCAGGCUUCAGGUGCCUGUGCCCUUCGGGGCGUGGAGGUUCAAGUCCUCUCAGCCGCA